AGUGAACGCUGGCGGUAGGCCUAACACAUGCAAGUCGAACGGCAGCACAGUAAGCUCUUUCUCUUACGGUUAGCGAGUGGCGGACGGGUGACGCGUACAUCGCCAUCUACUUUUUCGUGGGUGAUAACGUAAGGACACUUACGCUACUACCUCAUACGUUCUACGGGUUAAAUCAGUGGAUCUUCGCACCUUUCCCGUUUCAAUUAGCCGAUUUCGGAUUAGCUUGUUGGCUGGGUAAAGGCCCACCAAGGCGACGAUCCGUAGCUGGUCUGAGAGGAUGAUCAGCCACACUGGAACUGAGACACGGUCCAGACUACUACGGGAGGCAGCAGUGGGGAAUAUUGGACAAUGGGCGCAAGCCUGAUCCAGCCAUACCGCGUGGGUGAAGAAGGCCUUCGGGUUGUAAAGCCCUUUUGUUGGGAAAGAAAAGCAGCAGGUUAAUACCCCGCUGUUCUGACGGUACCAAAAGAAUAAGCACCGGCUAACUUCGUG
rnacentral:rRNA from 1 species